CGACACCUGUCCCAUUAUUAGAACGCAGCGCUUCAUUUAUUCUAUUAUGGGCCAUCUCAUUUUAAAGCCCAAUUCAUUUGUGGCAUACGGGAAGCUAUUUGUCGUGACCUGAAAAAGUAAAAGGUCGUCUUCCUCAGCAUUCAUCCGUUACUUCAAGAUCUGAUUAGGUCAAACUGCAAAUCGAGUCAGCCGAAAAGUCCUUGCGAACCUUGGUAUCCAAGCAGCCAUCGUUUCAUAUUCGGUCCUUAACCCUUAGACGUUACAGGUUGUCUUAAUUCAUCGGCUUUAAGAGAUGUUAACUCCACCGACACGAAUCAAGCACGACAUCUCAUUCAAUGAUUCUCAUCAAAAUCCAAGGCUAUUUUCUUUAUCUAUAAAAGGGUUAAGCCUUCUCUAUCCUUGAACAUCAUCCUCACAUUGUGUGGUUCUCCGGAAAACAAAGUAAAUCCCCAAGCACAAAGGCUAACUCAUUUGUUCUUCUUGGUGAUUUGAAGGCUGGUCGGUGCUCUUCAACCGUCCAAGCACAGUUGCUCUGAUUAUGGGAGGCCAGAAGAUGGAAAUCUAAAACAUCUGCUGGGUUUCAGUGUCUCAGUUGAUCUUCGGAGCAUCAGCUGUGUUUUCUGUGAGAUUCUAACCAGAAGACCACUUCUUAAAGAAAGAACCUAGAUUGAACAACCACCAAAUGAAGAAUUAUGGAAAAGAACCAGCUUCAUUUGUCAAACUAAGAUGUUUAGACCACACCAUCAGUAUAAAGGUUGUCUGAGUUAAAGAUUUCAGGAGUUUCUGAAUAAAUAGGUUGAUCUUCAGGGGAAUUAAUCUAAUCCAGACAAACGCUGAGCUGCCUCAGUUGCUCUCAUGUGAAAGAAAAGAAAUAACCUGGUAUCCAAGAAUACGUGGAAAUCAGAAAUCACGUACAACAAUCAAAGAGCCUAAACUCCUAAGAAGUCACCAACCCAACAUGAAGCAUAUAAAGGGAAGCUGAGACAGAAAUCAUUCUUCCAACGCCACCGGAGACAUCUCAUUGACGACUCGAAGUGAGGAAAGAAAACGAUGCAGCUUCAACGCUUACUUAUAUAAUCAGCCUAAUGGAUCCGCGAGUUAUGUUAGACAAACUGAGCUUUCUCUGACCGCAAGUUUAUUUAGACUUCUCUGACGUGCCACUGUUCUCUCUCUGGCUUGCAUCACAAGAAAUCAGAAGAAGCUAUGGUGAGU